UUCAGAAGAUGUGAUUAUGAUGGAUUGUGCUUCAAAGCAAUUAGAAAGCUUGCAUCAGCUGCAUUUGCAUGGCUGAUUAUAUGAGUCUUGUCAACCUUCUGGCCUGCUACAUUGUCGCUGAAAAAAUCUGAGCCUCCUUGCAACUGGUUUCUCCCAAGGUGAAGAAUCCAAAAGUGAGUGAGAAAAAGACUCAAACUGAAGGGCA
rnacentral:lncRNA from 1 species